ACCUGUAUCGAAAGUGGUCAUGGCGUCCUCAUCGCCAGGGUCAUAGAUAGUACAGGAAGAUAAACCUGAGAGCCUUUCCCGUGUUUGGAGGCAUGUCUGUUCCUGUCAAACCCUGAUGCUUUCGUACA